CCGGCGCACGGGUGAGUAACGCGUAUGCAACCUGCCUGAUACCGGGGUAUAGCCCAUGGAAACGUGGAUUAACACCCCAUAGUACUUUUAUCCUGCAUGGGAUGUGAGUUAAAUGUUCAAGGUAUCGGAUGGGCAUGCGUCCUAUUAGUUAGUUGGCGGGGUAACAGCCCACCAAGACGAUGAUAGGUAGGGGUUCUGAGAGGAAGGUCCCCCACAUUGGAACUGAGACACGAUCCAA
rnacentral:rRNA from 1 species